AGGCAUAGGUUCAUGCUGCUGGAUGUUUAAUUUUGAGUCUAGAAAGAGCAAGUGCACAAUGGGAAGUCCUAACUUAUCUUCUCUCACCUCAUUGAUUUUUCAGUGAAUAGAUCAUGAACGAUUCCCACCUCAUUCAUAAUAUCUGUGUCACAGUCACCUCACUUGUCAUAAGGACAUAAAAAUGAAUUAAGCACUGGAGAAACAGUACCAUGUGGAGUGUGUCCUAAGGAACAUGACAGAUGGAGCCGCCAUUGACUGAGAUGAGGAAGACGUUCAGGCCUUUCCUAUUAAAGUGAUAAAUGCUUACAAAACAGAUAUCCAGCUACAUAACCAAGCAGAUUGAAUGGGACUGGGGGACAUUUCACAACAGUGAUUUUGAUUCUUCAAACUUUUGGAGACAAAACAACUUUCAGAUGAAGAAUGAAAUUUGAAGCCAGAAUAGCAUGCAAUGAAAAACAUUUUAAAUCCAUGCCUUCUUUUUGAAGUUGUAUCUUUUUUGGAUGCUCAAGAGUGAGUUGGAUUUGCAGCCACAAAUCAAAUGUUCAGAAAUCCUUGGCUGUCUGAGCCUGGCGGCCCUCAUCCAGCCAGCUGGACGAUAAAACACCUGGGUUGAUUCUAUUUAUUCUGGAGGGGAGGAGCAAGGCUGUGCAAAACAACAUGAAGAAAGACUCGCCUAUGCAAAAUUGCAAUGUAUCUAAAAUUUCGUUGUCUUCUCAUUGUCCUUGUGGUAUCUGUUCUUCCUUGGUCUUUUACAUGUUCCCAGUGCCCCCCAUUUGGAGAGUCCAGAGUGAUGCUCCUUGAUCAGAGGUCAGUGUAUCACCUCAUUGCCUUGUUUUAGGGUUUGUCAACCCCGCCACUCAUACAAACGUGUUACCUUUGCCACU